UACGGGGGAUGCAAGCGUUAUCCGGAUUUAUUGGGUUUAAAGGGUGCGUAGGCUGUGAGGUAAGUCAGCGGUGAAAUGCCCCCGCUCAACGGGGUGAAGUGCCAUUGAUACUGCCUUGCUGGAAUUCCGAUGCCGUCGGAGGAAUGUGUGGUGUAGCGGUGAAAUGCAUAGAUAUCACACAGAACACUGAUUGCGAAGGCAUCUGACGAAUCGGAGAUUGACGCUGAUGCACGAAAGCGUGGGUAUCGAACAGG
rnacentral:rRNA from 1 species